rnacentral:siRNA from 1 species
UGGGCCAUUAAAUGUUGAUGUCAU